ensembl:lncRNA
CCAGGUUCAUCUUCUACAGCUGUUAGCUCAUCUUGGGAGGGGAGUAGAGACCAUGAGGUGCUGUCUUCUGGCUCAGAGACCAACCCUAUUGUCUCCUUGACCACUUCAAUCGUAGAAGAUUCAACCAGAGAUAUCUCAGCUCCUGUGACUGGAGAGGUCAGUAUAGGGAGAUUGAGUCAAGAGCCCAGUACCAGCCUGGGAGAGAUCCCAGCCUCCUCAGAGGACACAGCACCCACGGGGAUGAGCCCUAUUUCUCAGCAGGUAUCUCCUGCUAGGAGCACAGAGCUCUCUCCAGGUGUCACACCUGUUGCUGGCCCAUCAAUUCUGCCAGCCAGUGACCUGCCCACCAAAUCCGCAUUAAGCCCUGGCACACUAGAAGAAGCCAGGUCAGCUUCCGCUCCUUCUCCAGGCACGUGGCUCAGCCCUUCAUCCAUUUCUCCCAUGUCCACAUCAGAGAACAAUGGAGCUUCUCCUCCCAGGACCACUUCUUCAAGCCCCACAGAGCUCAUGCCAGAUGUCUCGACGUCUGUUCCAGCCAGCGAUUCAAAUAAUGUCGUAUCCACCUUCUCAGAGAAGACCAGCAUGGAAACUGAUUCCAGUUCAGCUGCCCCUCCGCGCAGCAGACUGCCAGGCUUCAUUGGCUCAGUUACUGUGACAGGGGCCCCAUGGUCUGCAGAGGAGACCAUCCCCCAGGGCCCACAGCUGGCCACAACAUCAGGGAGUGGCCUCACCCUCAGCCCUCCCCUGACAGAGACUCCACUUUCCAUCACCACAGAUGCUGGCUCAUGGACAACUUCAUCCACCUCUGUGAGCAGCCAAGCAAUGGCAGCAGACACCAGCAUUCCUAUGCUGCUGGGCAGCACCUCUGCUGGGGCCACCAGCCUUGCGUCCAUCCCUUCCUCAGAGGCAGGUUCUCCAGGGCUGUCAAGACCCAGCCCAGACUCCUCUGCUCUGUUCAUCCAAUCGUCAGCCUGGACAAGCACCUCUGCCCCAGGGAUGGCCCCAUCCUCUGGGUCCACUUUGUUCUUUCCCACCACCACCGGGUCGGAGGAGAGCACAGAAGAUAGAGCAACAGGACCAUUCGCACCGUCUUCAAUGGACGUGGAGAGCUCGUGGACAUCUGCCCCUUCCCACUCAGGGAGCACGCUCCAAGCAGACCUCACUUCCUCGGGUAUCAGCCAGAGCCUUGGUCCCAGCAGCCAGAGCGUAGACUUACCCUCACAGGAAGGUACCGGGUCCCCAGCCAGUGAGUCCAAAGUGCCCACCACCACUGUCACUGCUUCAGACACAGGCCUGUCGAGCGGGAGCCCAAUGGCAGCAGGUCCCAGGGAUCCAUCCCCUGCCAGCAGAGAGGCCACGGAGCCCACCAGCCUGCCUGUGGUUGCCUCCACCAUGGGAACCUCCACUUUCAGGAGAGCAGCAGUGAGCAUCCCCCUACACACAGCUCCUGGCUCAGCCCCUGCUCAGUCCACCAGCCUCCCUGUGGGCUCUGCUUCAGGGAGCCAAGGUCUGGAGACACCUAUGACAACCAUGUCCUCUGUGGCAGGAGCCCGCACUUCCACUGACUCUUCUGCUGGCGUGACCACGGCCACUGGCUCCCUCCCGCUUGCUGCUACUUCAGCUGAGGUCCAGGAGGGUCCAGGCUCCAGUGCUCCCUUAGACUCCAACUCACUAGGGGCAAUUUCCUCCACGGCCACCCCUAGUGCAGCCCUGACCACAGGGAGGGACCCUGACACCAAGCCUGCGGAGACUCCUGCCGGUGACUCCUUCCAUACCAGGAUCUCUGCUUCAGGGCCGACAAGCAGCCAGACCCUCGCUCUGUCUUCAGCUGACCCAGGCUCAACUAGCAAAGUGACAGAGACGCCCCCCAUUUCCAUCAUUACCCACACAGUGGCUUCUACCACCUUAGAAAAGUCAGAGGCCCAGACAGGAACUGAGCCCAGCUCAUCUGGGCUGCCUCUGACUAGCCUGAGCAAGACCUUCUCCCCCGAGGAAGGAGGAACAGCCACAGCCAUGCCAUCCACGGAAAGGAGCACAGGGCCCGUGACUCUGGCACCACCUCCACUCUGUCCACAAGUAAGCAGCAACUCCUGCCUUUCCUACUGGGGAUUUUGUUACGCCAUG